rnacentral:lncRNA from 1 species
CAUUCCUUGCAUAAUAAUUUAAAAUACCCAAUAGGACUAAGAGAAUGAUGCUUCUAAAAGAACAAGCGAAAAAUCAAGAAAUAAAUGAAAAGUAAACAAUUAGGUAUCUUAUGACGACUUUCACUAACCUUUGAAGGGAGUCUAGGUGGUGAACUAUUCACAACCUCGUUGUUGAUCAGGAUCUGGAUCUUGAUCCUCUUGAUCUGAAAUAGUUAAUAAAAUGGUAAACUACACUAGU